rnacentral:rRNA from 1 species
AACGUAGGACACAAGCGUUAUCCGGAAUUACUGGGAGUAAAGCGCAUGCAGGCGGAUUACCAAGUCAUGUGUGAAAGCUCCCGGCUAAACUGGGAGAGGACGGAUGAGACUGGUAGUCUGGAGGGUGGUAGAGGCGUGUGGAAUUCCGCGUGUAGUGGUGAAAUGCGUAGAGAUGCGGAGGAACACCAGUGGCGAAGGCGGCACGCUGGGCCAUACCUGACGCUGAGAUGCGAAAGCAUGGGGAGCGAACGGG